rnacentral:misc_RNA from 1 species
CCUCGCCCUUAUUUUUAGUUGCAAUGAGAGAAGAACACAGGUAGUGACCCAGAAAUCUUGAAAUCGUUAAAUUCUGCUCUACGAUACCUGCAUGCCAUCUAACCCAAGAAGAUAAAUCCCACCUUUCAGGAUCUGAUUCAUCUCGAAACAUUGAUAGGUUAAGGAAGUUCCUGCCACCAAAAGAAGGGUAAACGGAAAGCUGAUCUUUGAGAAUAAACGAGCCUCUUGAUAUGAUAGUAUGCAUAAUGA